GGCGGACGGGUGAGUAACGCGUAAGAACUUGCCCUUUAGACUGGGAUAACAGAGGGAAACUUCUGAUAAUACUGGAUAAGUUAGUAUAUCGCAUGAUAUGCAAAUGAAAGCUACGGCACUAAAGGAGAGCUUUGCGUCCUAUUAGCUAGUUGGUAAGGUAAGAGCUUACCAAGGCGAUGAUAGGUAGCCGGCCUGAGAGGGUGGACGGCCACAAGGGGACUGAGAUACGGCCCUUACUCCUACGGGAGGCAGCAGAU
rnacentral:rRNA from 1 species